UNUGACUUGAGUGCAGAAGGGGAGAGUGGAAUUCCAUGUGUAGCGGUGAAAUGCGUAGAUAUAUGGAGGAACACCAGUGGCGAAAGCGGCUCUCUGGUCUGUCACUGACGCUGAGGCUCGAAAGCGUGGGUAGCGAACAGGAUUAGAUACCCUGGUAGUNCACGCCGUAAACGAUGAGUGCUAGGUGUUAGGCCCUUUCCGGGGCUUAGUGCCGGAGCUAACGCAAUAAGCACUCCGCCUGGGGAGUACGACCGCAAGGUUGAAACUCAAAGGAAUUGACGGGGGCCCGCACAAGCGGUGGAGCAUGUGGUUUAAUUCGAAGCAACGCGAAGAACCUUACCAGGUCUUGACAUCCCGAUGCUAUUCUUAGAGAUAGGAAGUUACUUCGGUACAUCGGAGACAGGUGGUGCAUGGUUGUCGUCAGCUCGUGUCGUGAGAUGUUGGGUUAAGUCCCGCAACGAGCGCAACCCUUAUUGUUAGUUGCCAUCAUUAAGUUGGGCACUCUAGCGAGACUGCCGGUAAUAAACCGGAGGAAGGUGGGGAUGACGUCAAAUCAUCAUGCCCCUUAUGACCUGGGCUACACACGUGCUACAAUGGUCGGUACAACGAGUUGCGAGCCGGUGACGGCAAGCUAAUCUCUGAAAGCCGAUCUCAGUUCGGAUUGGAGGCUGCAACUCGCCUCCAUGAAGUCGGAAUCGCUAGUAAUCGCGGAUCAGCACGCCGCGGUGAAUACGUUCCCGGGCCUUGUACACACCGCCCGUCACACCACGAGAGUUUGUAACACCCGAAGUCGGUGAGGUANCCUU
rnacentral:rRNA from 1 species